rnacentral:rRNA from 1 species
UACGUAGGGGGCUAGCGUUGUCCGGAAUCAUUGGGCGUAAAGCGCGUGUAGGCGGUCCGGUAAGUCCGCUGUGAAAGUCGGGGGCUCAACCCUCGAAUGCCGGUGGAUACUGUCGGGCUAGAGUGCGGAAGAGGCGAGUGGAAUUCCUGGUGUAGCGGUGAAAUGCGCAGAUAUCAGGAGGAACACCUAUUGCGAAGGCAGCUCGCUGGGACGUAACUGACGCUGAGACGCGAAAGCCUGGGGAGCAAACAGG